rnacentral:rRNA from 1 species
AGUGAACGCUGGCGGUAGGCCUAACACAUGCAAGUCGAACGGCAGCACAGUAAGAGCUUGCUCUUACGGGUGGCGAGUGGCGGACGGGUGAGGAAUACAUCGGAAUCUACUUUUUCGUGGGGGAUAACGUAGGGAAACUUACGCUACUACCGCAUACGACCUACGGGUGAAAGCAGGGGAUCUUCGGACCUUGCGCGAUUGAAUGAGCCGAUGUCGGAUUAGCUAGUUGGCGGGGUAAAGGCCCACCAAGGCGACGAUGCGUAGCUGGUCUGAGAGGAUGAUCAGCCACACUGGAACUGAGACACGGUCCAGACUCCUACGGGAGGCAGCAGUGGGGAAUAUUGGACAAUGGGCGCAAGCCUGAUCCAGCCAUACCGCGUGGGUGAAGAAGGCCUUCGGGUUGUAAAGCCCUUUUGUUGGGAAAGAAAAGCAGCAGGUGAAUACCCCGCUGUUCUGACGGUACCCAAAGAAUAAGCACCGGCUAACUUCGUG